rnacentral:rRNA from 1 species
CCUACGGGUGGCAGCAGUGAGGAAUAUUGGUCAAUGGGAGAGAUCCUGAACCAGCCAAGCCGCGUGAGGGAAGACGGCCCUAUGGGUUGUAAACCUCUUUUGUCGGAGAACAAAACCCGGGACGUGUCCCGGACUGCGUGUAUCCGAAGAAACAGCAUCGGCUAACUCCGUGCCAGCAGCCGCGGUAAUACGGGGGAUGCGAGCGUUAUCCGGAUUUAUUGGGGUUAAGGGGUGCGUGGGCGGUCCGUUAAGUUAGCGGUAAAAUUGCGGGGCUAAACCCCGUCGAGCCGGUGAAACUGGCAGACUUGAGUUGGCGAGAAGGACGCGGAAUGCGCGGUGUAGCGGUGAAAUGCAUAGAUAUCGGGCAGAACUCCGAGUGCGAAGGCAGCGUACCGGCGCCAGACUGACGCUGAGGCGCGAAAGCGUGGGGAGCGAACAGGAUUAGAUACCCGGGUAGUC